UACAGGAUCUCUUUUUGCUUGUGAGGUUGCAGAUGGAGGUGAUGCUGGCCCCGUUUUCAAGGUCAAGAGGUACCCAUGCAUCCUGCAUUCUGUCCCAACUGGUUCGACAGUCCUUUUAAAAUUUAAAUCUGAUUCUCAUAUUGGCGAAGAUAAUGUGGAAAAUGGUAAUUCUGCAACUUCUACGCUGGUUGAUGAGGAGAGUAUUUCUAUCCAGCUGAUGCUGGAAGAGUGCAACCCACCAGAUCUGAUAAGUGACUCUCAUACUGCUGAAAAUAUGCAGAAGGCAUUUUGUGGAAAAUUCGGAAAUAUUG
rnacentral:misc_RNA from 1 species